rnacentral:rRNA from 1 species
AUUGAACGCUGGCGGCAGGCCUAACACAUGCAAGUCGAACGGCAGCGGGGGGUAGCUUGCUACCUCGCCGGCGAGUGGCGGAAGGGUGAGUAAUGCCUGGGGAGCUGCCCAAUCGAGGGGGAUACCAGUUGGAAACGACUGCUAAUAACGCAUACGCCCUGAGGGGGAAAGGUGGGGAUCUUCGGACCUACCGCGAUUGGAUGCACGCAGGUGGGAUUAGCUAGUUGGUGAGGUAACGGCUCACCAAGGAGACGAUCUCUAGCUGGUCUGAGAGGAUGACCAACCACACUGUAACUGAGACACUGUCCAGACUCCUACGGGAGGCAGCAGUGGGGAAUAUUGCACAAUGGGGGAAACCCUGAUUCAGCCAUGCCGCGUGUGUGAAGAAGGCCUUCGGGUUGUAAAGCACUUUCAGCGAGGAGGAAAGGUUGGCAGCUAAUACCUGUCAGCUGUGACGUUACUCGCAUAAGAAGCACCGGCUAACUCCGUGCCAGCUGCCGCAGUAAUAC